UGGGGAAUAUUGCACAAUGGGCGAAAGCCUGAUGCAGCGACGCCGCGUGAGGGAUGACGGCCUUCGGGUUGUAAACCUCUUUCAGUAGGGACGAAGCGCAAGUGACGGUACCUGCAGAAGAAGCACCGGCUAACUACGUGCCAGCAGCCGCGGUAAUACGUAGGGUGCGAGCGUUGUCCGGAAUUACUGGGCGUAAAGAGCUCGUAGGCGGUUUGUCACGUCGUCUGUGAAAUCCUAGGGCUUAACCCUGGACGUGCAGGCGAUACGGGCUGACUUGAGUACUACAGGGGAGACUGGAAUUUCUGGUGUAGCGGUGGAAUGCACAGAUAUCAGGAAGAACACCGAUGGUGAAGGCAGGUCUCUGGGUAGUAACUGACGCUGAGGAGCGAAAGCAUGGGUAGCGAACAGG
rnacentral:rRNA from 1 species